AGAAGGCAAAGGCCAACACACAGAAGAAGAGUGGGAGCCUGGAGAGCUGGAGACAGAAAUAAAUAAUUGAGAAACCUCCUGGAGGGUAAAGUCUGAGUCCUGUUCACCUUCUACAUGUUGCCCAGCACAGAGGACAUCCUCAAAAAGGUUAAGGAAGUGAAUAAACAAAGGAAAGCACUUUGUGAAUUGUAAAGCGAGAUCCAGGGUAAAGGAAAGAAACCUCUGCAUGAAAGAGAAGACGAACACAUGAUUCAAUGACUGUGUUUUAAGAGCCGCCUCCCGGCAUGGGCCAGUCUGGCUGGAAACUGUAGGAGGGAAUAAGAGAAGGAUCCAUGUGAGUGCGUGGUCAA